rnacentral:rRNA from 1 species
GACGAACGCUGGCGGCGUGCUUAACACAUGCAAGUCGAACGGAAAGGCCCUUCGGUUGUGGUCUGCUGGAGUGGGGAACGGGUGAGGAAGACGAGAGUAACCUGGCCUUGACUUUGGUAUAAGAUCACGAAGCUAAGGCUAAUAUCGGACCGCAUCCCCCGUGGGAGGGUGGGCAUUGGAAAUUCGCUGCGGGUGGGGAUGGACGCGCGGCUUAUCGGCUUGUUGGUGGGGGAGUGGCAUACCAAGGCUGGGGCGGGUAGCCGGCCGGAGAGGGUGACCGGCCACAAUGGGACUGAGAUACGGCCCAGACUCCUACGGGAGGCAGCAGUGGGGAAUAUUGCACAAUGGGCGGAAGCCUGAUGCAGCGACGCCGCGUGCGGGAUGACGGCCUUCGGGUUGUAAACCGCUUUCGGCUGUGACGAAGCGGGAGUGACGGUACUGGGAGAAGAAGCACCGGCUAACUACGUG